rnacentral:rRNA from 1 species
GACGAACGCUGGCGGCGUGCCUAAUACAUGCAAGUCGAACGCAGUGGGGACGGGUGAGUAACCCGUGGGUAACCUUCCAUCAGGGGGGAUAGCCCUUGGAAACAGGUGCUAAACCGAUACAGAUGGAUGGACCCGGGGUGCAUUAGCUAGUUGGUGAGUUAACGGCUCACCAAGGCCACGAUGCAUCGCCGACCUGAGAGGGUGAUCGGCCACACUGGGACUGAGACACGGCCCAGACUCCUACGGGAGGCAGCAGUAGGGAAUUUGCGGCAAUGGACGAAAGUCUGACCGAGCAACGCCGCGUGAGUGAAGAAGGUUUUCGGAUCGUAAAACUCUGUUGUUAGAGAAGCGGUAUCUAACCAGAAAGCCACGGCUAACUACGUGCCAGCAGCCGCGGUAAUAC